UGCCCAGUAACUCUUAUGCUUACCUCCUCGCGGUACUUGCCAGGGUACGAGCAUUUUUAGCGAACAUCGGGUAACGAACCCCGGUGGAGACUUUGGUCAUAUGCUGACAUGGAAGG
rnacentral:ribozyme from 1 species